UUGUAAUAUUUGAAAGAAACAUGCAACAACAUUGUUUAUUUUAAUUGAAAGAAAGGACCAAACAAUGAGAAAUUUGCCCACAACGUACAAUCACUCUUCACGAGGCCCAUUCUUUCUCCUUCCGGCCAAUUCUUCUUCUUCUUCUUCUUCUUCUUCUUCUAACUCCACAAAUCCUCUUGCAAAACCCUCUUUCAAAUUCAAUCCUCAGAUCUAAUCAAUUGGAAGUUUUUAAGAACUUCCCAUGAAAAACAUCUUCACUCAUUUCUAGCUCCUUCUCAGAACCCACCAUUUCCCCCUUUUUCCUCAUAAUGUCUUCUUAUGGGGUUUUAUUUUCUUUCAUUCUCUUGCUCUUUCUUGCUCAAAACGCCAUUGAAGGGACCUCAAUCCACGUUAAUGAGUCCGAUCAAGAACCGAUAAUGGUACCAUUGAUGGAGACGACGACGACGACGGCGAUGAUGAUGAACAGCGGUGGCCGGAGACAGCUGAAGAGCUUCCAAAUAUGUGCUCUCUGUACUUGCUGUGGUGGCGCUAGAGGAAUGUGCCUUCCAUCGCCUUGUUGCUAUGCUAUAAACUGUAACAUUCCUAAUAGGCCUUUUGGGUUUUGCUCUUUUACUCCAAAGACAUGUAACUGCUUUGGCUGUCAUAUUUAAGCUAUUUUACUUCUUAUUCUUCACCAUAUUUCUCUCUAUUUAUGUCAUUGAAAAUUGUUUAUUGUUGGAUCUCUGAAAUUGUGGAAUAUAUGUUCUAAAAUUGUUCAUUGUUCAUGGGUUUGGCUUGUGAUUGUAGCAUAGCAUGGUGCCAUUGUCGAGCUUUUUAGAAGAGAAUGUUCCAAGAUUUGGCUUGUUUGUUGGGCACUGUUGAUACCUCCAUUGUGUUUAAAUCUAAACGCCUUUUUCUUGCUUUUGAUU